ACAUUCCACAAAGAAACAUUUUAGAAGACUCACUAAACUAAAGCAAAACAUUAUAAACUAUAUAUAUAUAUAUAUAUCUAUUAUAUAAUUGUCUAUCUAACGAGCUACAGUAAUUUUUCUUGUUUUCCGGUAACUUUCAUCCUCUUUCCGUUCACUUCUGUUUUCCCGUUAACGUGUAAUAGUGAAUAAGAUGAAGCAAUUUGAGGCCACACCGUGCACGCCAUGGCCAAGCUGCUACUGGCCAGAUUCGAGGAGUCGUUUCGGCCUUUCAGCGAGAAAAUCGAUCGGAUUGAUGAAGAAGAGGGAGAACAACGGGUUUUCAAUGCGGAGGAAGAAUUGCAAGCGAGCGAUAAUGCAAAAGCUCCACGCGAUUGGAGUUCCAUUUUCCCUAUUCCAAAAUCCCAAAACCCAAAUGAAAUGGAUCCAUCGUUGUUGCACCAAAGAGGAAAAAUGGUGGCCGGUCAAGUACGACGACGAGAAUGCUUCGAUUUUCACAGUCAGGAACGCCCCCAUUUCGGAAACCACGAAAUGGGAGAAGAGCUCGGGAUCCGCUGCUGAAAAUGGUGGAGCAUCGUAUGAUUUGGCCGACCCCAAGCGGUACUGGCGUCAUCGGUGUCCCAACCGAAAUCAGCAAUUAAACCGGAAAGGAAUCAUAUAUCGGAUUUGAAGGCUUUGACCGAGGAAUCGGAGGAGAAGGACGUGGGAGUGAGUAAAGAGGAGCCUCCUCGAUCGCCCAAGAAGGAAUCGUCUGUGCUCAUAUUGGAUGAUAAUUACGACGAUGCGAAAGCGAAACAAGCGGCAAGUUGGCUUUGUUCAAGUAAGCUUUUUUUCAACCUGAGUGAUGUGGGUGGUACUUUCUUUUGCCAUGCAAUUCAUGUUUGUACCGUCCGAAAGAAAUUUACAAGACUGUUUCUUUUGGAGGGAGGGGGGUGUGAGUAAGAUGACUUUUAGAUUGAUGUUAGUUUUAAAAGAAAAAAUAACAGAAGUCGCCCCAGUUUUUAGCUAAUAUAGGACUCUGCUUAGCCCCUGCUGGUGCUGGAGAGGUCCAGAAUCUUCUUAGUAAGAGCGCUUAGGCCCUGCUGGUGCUGGAUGCAUAUGCAAUGUUACUUACGAGUCAACUUGCAGGUUCCAAGAAAAGCUGGAUCCCAAUUGGCGAUUACAUAAAAGAAAGCUCGAGUUCACUGUUGAAUUUUACAGGUUGUGAUUUUGAAUAUUGAUGUGUGGACAAUUUGAACUUUGGACAGGAGCAAAUUCAUUGUCUUUUCAACACUGUUUUGCGUUGGAGGAUUCAUUUACAAAACUCGAGUUAAACGCCUGCGUAGAAUUGCUGCACUGCCAGGCAUGACAAUACUCUCUGCCUGCUUAGAAACGGUGAGAGGAGCAGGGCAAGGUUACUCUCGAGUAGAAGACCUUAACGCUGCAUUCGCGAAAGCCUCUUGGGAAAGCCCAUCUGUUUCUGUUCAAGGAGCUAGGAUACCAAGUGAGAAAAGCAAUGGUUCCAUCGGAAUUUCUGUUUUCCUCAACACAUCUCAGUUUUAAGUGGGUUUUGUGCUGCAAAUUAUACAUACAUGGAUGAUGGAUCGACCAACGAAUAUGCCUGAUCAUGGAGCUUUACAACCUGUUGUAUCAAAAUUUAUAGUAAGGAUCCUAUGGUCCAAGUAUGGAAAACAGUUUCCUACCAAACAAUCACUUGGAAAUGGCAGUGUUUUCAGAAGAACAAAAGCAUCUGGUGAAACAGCUUUCGAGUUCCAGGAAAGUGAUGGAGAAUCCAUCAUUUUCCAUUACUUUAGCAAAGUCUUUUUUUCCUUUUAUAUGCAAUAGAAUCCUAUCAAUUAGCUUAGGAAUCGAUAAAAAUUUUAUAUCAUCUCAUUUGUCUAUGUUACUCUACUCAAACUUGUAUUAAACUAUGGUGUAUUUUGAACUAA